CUCCAUUAAACAGUGGGAGCAUUGCUCUGACCUUUGCCAGGGCUCAAGGGUCACCAGCAUUCCAGGCUCCUUGUCCACACUGCUCUGCUAGUGAAGACAAUAGGCGGUUUCCCACAUUGCUUUCAUGA